rnacentral:rRNA from 1 species
AUGAAUAUUUGCCUCCUUUCCCGCUGGCUCUGGCGCAUUUCGCAAGGGCACGGUGGCCUUUGGUUAGACAUCAUCCGGAACAAGUACCUACGUGGGCAACCCCUGGCCUUAUGUCAAAUGUCCGGCGGCUCCCAGUUUUGGCAGUCGGUCAUCCAACUACUCCCCGUCCUCCGCAUUGGGACUUCCAUCUCGGUUGGAUCGGGUGCUGCGACUUUGUUCUGGUUUGAUCGUUGGGCGGCGGGUGAAACCCCCUUCGCGGCUCGCUUCCCCGACCUCUUCUCCAUCGCCGUCGCCCCCUCGAUCUUAGUAGAGAGGGCCCUUAUUGACUUAGGGCGCCUCGCUUUCCGGAGGCCAUUUGGGCCUCCGGAAGCCACCGCUUGGCAGGAGUUGCUUGAUUGCGUCGCUCUCCACGAGCUGACUGUGGAUGCCGGCCUGGAUGAGGUUCGUUGGCGUCUUGACCCAUCGGGCCAAUUCUCCACCAAUUCCCUCUAUAAGGCCAUUGCCCCCUCCUCCGCCUCCCCCAUCUCGGCGGUGUGGUCCAUCCGCCUGCCCUUGAAAAUCCGGAUAUUCAUGUGGCAAUGGAUUCGUGGACAGAUCCCGUCUGGGGUGGAGGUGCGCAAGCGCAAUGGUCCUGGUUCCGGCCUCUGCCCGCUGUGUGAUACCCCCGAGGAUUCGAAUCACAUCUUCUUCUCCUGUAUGUCCGCUCAAUUCGUGUGGAGCUGCUUUAAAGAGGUGGUGGGAGGUGAUUGGUGCCACAUCAACUUCCCCGACCUCUUCGCCGAGCUCCAGAACUCCCCCUGCCCUCUCGUCACAUUAGGUGGCUUGAAAUUGGGGUUCUCGCGUGGACUCUCUGGAAGAUCCGCAAUAAGCUUGUGA